rnacentral:lncRNA from 1 species
GUUUUUAGGGCAGUACCCAUGGCAUAUGGCAAUUCCAGCCUAGGGGUCAAAUUGGAGCUAUAGCUCCCGGAGUACAGCACAGCCACAACACCAGAUCCAAGUCGAGCCUGCGACCUACACCACGGCUAAAUGCAAUGCUGGAUCCCCAUCCUAUUGAGCAAGGCCAGGUAUCAAACUCUCAUCCUUGUGGAUACUAGUCGGAUUCACUUCCUCUGUGCUACACUCCUAAACUACAGAUUUACGAAGCUUCAAAAUCAUCAAACAAGAUAAACAACAAAAACUCAACAAAACAAAACAAAAAGAAUACCUAGGCAUAUCAUAUGCAAACCGCUGAAAGGUGAAGAGAAAAUCGUGAAGGCAGGCAAAGAUGGGGAAAUGCAUCACAUGCAGAGGAACAAGGAUAAGGAUUAUAACAAGCUUCCUAUUCGGAACUCUGCAAGCAAGAAGAUAGUGGGGUCUAGUGAGGGAGUCCUAUCAUGGCGCAACAGAAACAAAUCUGACUAGCAUCCAUGAGGACGACGAUUUGAUCCCUGGCCUUGGUCAGUGGGUUAAGGAUCCAGCGUUGCCAUGAGCUGUUGUGUAGGAAGCAGAUGUGGCUCGGAUCUGGCACUGCUGUGGCUGUGAUGUAGGCCAGCAGCUAUAGCUCCAGUUCGACCCCUAGCCUAGGAACCUCCAUAUGCCACAGGUCUGGCCCUAAAAAAUACAAAAAAAAAAAAAAAAAGGUCCAGUGAAAAUAUCCUUCAUAAGUGAAGAGGAAAUUUCCCAAUUUAAAUUGAUGCAAUCACUAUGGAAAACAUUAUGGAGGUUCCUAAAUAGAGUGGCCAUAUGAUCUAUAAUCCCACUCCUGAGCAUAUAUUGGGACAAAACUAUUAUUUGAAAAGUUACAUGAACCUCAGUGUUCACUGUAGCAGUGUUUACAAUAGCCAAGACAUUGAAGCAAUUAAAUGUUCAUCAACAGAGAAAUGCAUAACGAAGAUGGAUUACUACUCCAUUAAGAAUGAAAUAAUGCCGUUUUCAAUAACUUGGAGGGACCUAGAGAUUAUCAUAUUAAGUGAAGUAAAUCAGAAAGAGAAAGACAAACACUUCAUGACAUUACUUACAGGUGGAAUCUAAAGUAUGAUACAAAUGGGAGUUCUCUUCAUGGCUCAGUGGUUAACGAACCCGACUAGGAACCAUGAGGAUGCAGGUUCAAUCCCUUGCCUCACUCAGUGGGUUAAGGACCCAGCAUUGCUGUGAGCUGUGGUGUAGGAAGCAGACGUGGCUCAGAUACCAGAUUGCUGUGGCUGUGGUGUAGGCCAGCAGCUGUAGCUCCAAUUUGAUCCCUAGCCUGGGAACUUCCACAUGCUGUGGGUGUGGCCCUAAAAUAAAUAAAGAAAUAAUAAAAUACGAUACAAAUGAAUUUAUUUACAAAACAGAAACAGACUCACGAACAUAGAAAACAAACUUACAGUUACCAAAGGAGAAAGAGGGUGUGGGAGGGCUAAGUUAAGAGUUUGGGAUUGGCAGACACCAAUUACAACAUACAAAACAGGUAAAUAACAAGGUCCUACUCUAUAGCACAGGGAACUAUAUUCAAUAUCCUGUAAUAAACCACAAUGGAAAAGAAAAAAAAAAAGACUUUUCCAGACAAACAGAAAGAGAAUUCACUGCCAGCUGAUCCACCCUAUAAGAAUAUAUUGAAGAAUAUAAGAGAUAUUGAAGGAAGUUCUUCAAGGCAGAAAGAAAAUGAAAGAGGCUUGUUAUCUACAAAAAGAAAUGAUGAAUAAAUGAAGGUAAAACAGAGUGUUUUCCUUUUCAUAUUUUUAACUGCUCUAAAAGACUGUUUAAAGCAGUAACAAAGCAUUGGGUAUUUACAGCAUAUGUAGUGAAAUGUACCACAGUGACAGUAAAAGGAAAAAUUAGGAAUAUACUACAAUAAGAUACAUGUACUACAUGUGAAGUGGUAUAAUAUCAUUUGAAGGUAAAUUCCUAUUUUAAAAUGUAUACUGUAAACUCAAGGGCAACCACUAAAAACCACUUUAAAGAAAUAUGUCAAUAAGGUAGAUAAAAGAACAACAAUAAAAAGCUCAAUUCACAUCAGAGAAGUCAGAAGAAAAAAAAAUAAAUAUAACAAAUAGAAAACAGCUAGUCAGGGAGAAAAAAAGGGGAAAAGUUAGCAAGAUAGCAAAUUUUAAUCUAACUAUAUUAAUAAUUAAAUGCAGUCUAAAAGGGCCAGGUAAUAGACAAAUUGUCAAAUUAGAUGAAAAAGCAAGAUCAAGAUAAAUGCCAUCUCCAAGAAGCCCACUAAGUAUAAAGAUUUAGAUAAAAAGAGCUAAAAAAUAAAGAUACUAUAUAAAUACUAAUCAAAAGAAAGUCAGUAGAGCCAAAUUAAUUUCAGACACAGUAGACUUUAGAACAAGAAAGACUGUCAAGGAUAGAGAGACGCAUUACAUACUGAUAAAGGGGUCAAUUAUCCAAGAAGUCAUAACAAUCCUAAUGUGUAUGCACCUAAAAUCAGAGCUUUAAAAUACAUGUGGGAAAAAGUGAUAGAUUUGACAGGAGAAAGAGACAAAUCUACAAUUAUAGCUGGAAAAGCUCAACACUCAUCUCUCAGUAAUUGAUGAAAAUCACGAAGGAGACCUCAACAGUACUAAUCACCAAACUUAAACUAAGUGACAUUUAAAGCAUUCUCCACCCAAAAUCCACUGAAUGUACAUACUUUUCAAGUAUACAUGGAAGAUUCACAAACACAUACCAUACAUAUUCUGGGUCAUAAAACAAACCUCUAAAAUAAAAAAUACAAAGCACAUUCUCCAACCAUAAAAGAGAAAAAAUUAAAUGCAAAAAAUUGGGGGGAAAAUUCUCCCAAAUAUUUGGAUAUUAAACAAUAUACUUCUAAAUAAUAUAGGUAAAAGACAGAGUCUAGAGAAAAGUGUAAAUGGCAAUGUUGUUUCCACCUACAUUUUUUAUAGCUUUUAGAGAUUCUUCAUAGAUACCCUGUAUUAGAUAUAGGAAUAAACAUGCAGAAUGUGGACUACUCAUCACCUGGCACCCACACAGAGUUUAUAUUAGGUAUAUCUAUACAGAAAGAAAAAUAACUAAAAUGUUGGAAACCUACAACUCUUAUAAUGCAGAUGUAAGAAAUUCAGAAAAUAACCAACAUUAGGAGUUUUUUAAAUUUCAUUUUCAGGAACACACAAACUAAAUCCAGGGUUUGCAAUGGUAAUUUUUAUCUUGUCUUCCCUGCUUCUCCCUUAUUCUCUCACCAUUCAUGAAGGUUAUCCACAAGAAAGGUCCUGGAUGAUUCUGCCUUGGCUGUUAUUACUGCUCAUCUCUUAAUACUAUUCAUCUUUUGAUCUCAUCCCAAAAUCUGGUCUAAGGAGGCAGCUGACAGAAAACUGAAAACUUUAUGUUUGCUUUCUGACUUAACUCAUGAACUAGGAAGAAUAAAAGCCCUUAACUUUCUUUUUUUCUGGUUUUUAGGGCCGCACUCACAGCAUAUAGAGGUUCCCAAGCUAGGAGUCAAAUCAGAGCUGUGGCCUAGGCCACAGCCACAGCAACGUCAUAUCCAAGCCUCGUCUGCAACCUAUGCCACAGCUCAUGGCAACACUGGAUCCUUAACCCACUGAGCAGGGCCAGCGAUUGAACCUGUGUCCUCAUGGAUGCUUGUCAGAUUCAUUUCCACUGAGCCAUGACAGGAACUCCCCUUAACUUUCAAAAGAACUUUCUUCUUUGAUACUAUUACUUAAAAAUUAGAUGCCUGUGUUGUUUUGACAACAAAUACUGUUCCCUCCUGAAGUGAAAAAUGAAAGGAAAAGAAUGUAUAUGAAGCUAGUUACACCCAGCCUAUAUAGAGGGUAGUCUAUUUUAAAAGCAAAGCUAGAUUAUGAAUCCCAGUCCAUUAAGAAUGUUCUCGAACUCUUUUCAUAAGAAUGAGGCCUUAGGAGUUCCCAUUAUGGCUCAGCAGGUUAAGAACCCAGCUAGUAUCCAUGAUGAUGAGGGUUCAAUCCCUGGCUUCAAUCCCUACUCCCUGGCAGUGUAGCUUGCAGAUGUUGCUCAGAUCUGACAUUGCUGUGGCUACGGAUGUGGCACUGGCCUGCAGCUGCAGCUCCAUCUGACUCAACCCCUAUCCUGGGAACUUCCAUAUGCCACAAGCGUGUCAGUAAAAAGAAAAAUAAAUAAAUAAAUAAGGGCUUAAGUCCAACUUUAUACAUACAAAAAAGGCAAAUGAAUGAGUAAGCAUGAAAAUCAGAGGAACCACUUUAAUAGCAGAAAGAAAAAGGAAGGUGACAGCCUGAGGAAAAGUACAGAUAUUUCCAUGUCUACAGACAUAUCCUCCAACUCCCCAAAAGAAUACUCUUUAUUCCUAUGAGUAAUUAGUUAUACAAGUUGAAGGUGUGGAAAAGAAAAACCUUCAGCUUCUCUCAGAAGCCUAUAGUCUCUAAGUAUCUUCUGACAUAAAAUAAAUUUAUAAAGUAUAAAUUAGGAGUUUCCAUCGUGGCACAGCAGAAACGAAUCCGACUAGGAACCAUGAGGUUGUGGGUUCGAUCCCUGGCCUCACUCAGUGGUUAAGGAUCCAGCAUUGCCAUGAGCUGUGGUGUAGGGCUCAGACGCAGCUCGGAUCUGGUGUUGCUGUGGCUCUGGCGUAGGCCAGCAACUGUAGCUCCAAUUAGACCCUAACCUGGGAACCUCCAUAAAGUACAAAUUAGCUAUCUAUUAUCAAAAGCACAUAGUUAAUAACCACUAAAGGGAAAGAGGUAUACUGUUGCCACAAAAGAUGAAAGAGGUAACAUUUGAAAAUUCAGUCAACCCUCAAUGAUUCAGGCUGAAGCAUUUCUGACGACAGUUCUAACAACUUCAGAAGGAAUCACAGAAAUAAACCCAAAGAACUUAAAAGUGUAUGAUGAUAAGAGUCCUGAAAUAUCAAGGAAAAUACACAGAAAAAUCUACCUAAUUUCACUCUCAACAGGAAAACAUCAAGUGACAUGAAAGAAAGGGGGUCAGGGAAGGGUCAGUAUUUCCUAAAUACUUUGGGUAAGGACAGCUAAAAGGGAAAAAAUUAAGUUUCUCUUCCGAGUGUUCAUUCCAAACUAAGAAUCAAUUCUACAAGGUUUCUCCUUGUGGCAAUCCUCAUUUUCCCCAAACAUAUGCAAAAGAAAUGUAGGUAUCAUGCAUUCUAGGUUAUUUUAUUGUCUUUUUUUUUUUCCAUCACUUACAGCAAUGAAUGCUUUGAACAAUGUCUGCUGUAUCAUACUUAGUUUUACAAGGGAUUAUCCCUUCAGAGAAUCCAGCAUAGAAAAGUCUAUCAAAAUGAAAUUCCUGGUAACUCUGCAGAGCAGAGGAAUAAAGAGCAGAAUAAGUAAACCAACUGAAGACAAUCCCUAUUAAAAUUAUUGAAUAUCGGAGUUCCCGUCGUGGCGCAGUGGUUAACGAAUCCGACUAGGAACCAUGAGGUUGCGGGUUCGGUCCCUGCCCUUGCUCAGUGGGUUAACGAUCCGGCGUUGCCGUGAGCUGUGGUGCAGGCUGCAGACGUGGCUCGGAUCCCGCGUUGCUGUGGCUCUGGUGUAGGCCGGUGGCUACAGCUCUGAUUCGACCCCUAGCCUGGGAACCUCCAUAUGCCG